GGUACAAGGAGGGUGGGAUGGGUGGCUGGUCGCGAAGGGUACAGAACACAAGGCUGCAGCCCGCUUCCCCAUACGCGAGGGAACCCGUUCUCAGGGCUCGAAGGGUUUGGGCAGGGUUUGGGCAGGGUUUGGGCAGGGUUUGGGCAGGGUGGGAAGGGGUGGCGAUGGCUCUGCCAGCGAUGGCUUGAGCGGGCGGGCUCGUGAAUGGACAUGCAUUGUGCAUGUGCAUUGGGGUCCUGGCCUAUGACGACCUGCGCUGUGACUGACCUUUGCAUCUACGAGUCUACUCCUGCCCUCCUGCCCUCCUGGCACACGCCCCAGCGGUUCACGCUGGAUGAAAAGAAAAAGAGCUGACUAGCAGUGGACGGCGAGGCGGGCAUCGCGGCCCUCCGUCUCUGCGGCCCGGUGCUGGUCCUGCUGGCCGUUGUGUUCCAAGUGCGGGGCAUCGGCGGCCGGUACACGCCGCCUGUGCUCCUUGCUGUCGGGCUUGUCCUGACAGCAAUGUGGGCCAUUGGGCUGUGUGUGGUUCAUGGCGGUGGUGCUGUCAGAGAUCCGGGUGUGCUACAGCGCCGCCAUGUUCUGCGGAGUGGCCAUGCUAGCGGGCAUGUGUGUGCUGUUUGUCUUGGAUUGGCACGAUUUGGAUUUCCGGGACGCUGCGCGGCGGGUGCUGGACGCUGCCAGCUAUGCGUACAUGUUGUUGGAGAACGAGGUGCGCGACGUUGCGAAGGACAUCGGGUUCGACAUGUUCGCCUUCGACUUCAGCAAGCAAUGCUUCAAGCUAGCGUGCAAGUUGGUGUACAAGCAGGGACGCCAGCGCUGGGACUGGAUGACGGGCAGUCGCCUGUGAGUAGGACGGACUGCUUCAGGGUGAGACUGAUUAGGAGGGAUGUGGAGGUCGCCACGCCGCCGCAAAGCAAGGCGGGGCAGAGUUGGAGCAGGGCCGGGCACUUGGAUGUUUGUUGCAGAGAGAACGCUGCUGGAGGAGGAGGAUGGCCCGGACAGGCCCGGAGACAGAUCGUGUGGGAGAGGGGCACUCGCGGCCGGCCGUCAAGGUACCGUCAGUUGUUGUCGAGUGCCGUCAGUUGUAGUCAUGUGUGAUGGGACAGGGUGUAGGCAGGUUGGCGAGGUCCCGUAGGGUGCAGCUGACGCCCAUACCCCAAGCAGAUGGCAAACAAUUUGUAGCGGCAGAGCAGAAGUGCAUGGCUGGUCGAACGCCGGAGUUACUGUACCGACAAGUUGCUGGCUGGCUGGAAGUUUGCUGAUGCGCAUUUCUCACGCUCAGUUGUAGUCGUUAUGUCGUUCUCUUGGACGGGAUUGCUGCUCCCAUAAGGCCAUAACAGGCCAGCGCCGCGCAUCCAGCCCUAUGGCGUAGUGCUUAGCCGCCCAGCGCCCCGCCCACCUCCAUGACUACGGGUAGUGCGAGUCGGGGCUGAUGCAGGACACCACUGCUGCAGGCUUUGCUCGAGCAUCGAGCAUCUUGGGUUGCGCCUAUUGCAGCAUUCCCCUUUGGUACCGGUUUACCGGUCAUCCGAACCUAGCCUGCACGUAGGCCUGGCAGCCACAGCGAGGUAGCACCGGGCUUGUAUCUUCCAGGGGUAGGCCGCCUCUGCUGGCGAGAACAGCCCUAACCACGUUGUCGCCCACGGCAACCAGGGGCCUAGUUUUUAUUUUUAGCGUUUGGGGGGGGGGCUCGUGGGGCUCUGCCAGCUGUACGACAAGCGUGAGCAGCCGGCCGUUGGUGGGGUCCGCCUCGCCCGUUUCGUCGCCCGGCACUCCUCCGUCAAAGAGCAGUGCAAGCGCAACAUCAUUGUCAGCCAGUUCCAUCGCCUGGCCCGCGUUAUCACGUGCGUUACAACGGCCAAAGUUUGGGGGUCGGUCGUCGUCCCUGGGGGUCCGCCGGGUUUCGGGAGCCCAUCCUGGCGGAUUUCGGGAAGCGCCCCACAAGCAGAACUAGGGGCCAAACGCAGCAGUACGAGGCUCAUAUGUGCACGUGGUGCCGUAAUAAGCACAAACAAAGCGUGGGAAGGCUAAGUUACGCGUCCGGGCGUGGACAUGUCGGCACAUGUCCCCACAUUCGGCACAUGCGCACUGCCACGGCUGGGCUCUCUAACGCUGGUGCGCUUGAAUUUACGUCAAACAAGGCUGCCGAUGCACACUGUCCAACCGUCACAUGGCAGAGAGUUGAGCGCGGUGUGGGCUGGGUCGAGCGGAUUCCAAUGGAUGGGAUUCCGCGUGUGACCGAAGUCUUUGAACAGGACCGCUGAUGGCACAGCGUAAUAGUGCUCGUCAAGAGGAGUCGAUUGGUACCACUUUGGUAUUAAAUGGAGGGUUUUGACCCCUGGAUUUGUCCAGGGGGGGGGUCGGUCGUCCCCUCAAGGGGGGUCCCGGGGGAUUUCGGGGCAUGGGGUCUCGCACAAUUCCUCCCCCCCCCCCCCCCCCUGUCCAGCACACCGAGGAGCCAAACGGUGAGGCAGCCAUCGGGUACGCGCGAUACGCCUCGGCCAGCCCCCACUCAAGCCGGCCGUCGCGCGCCACCAGAGCCACGCCCCCACGCGGCCCAGCAGACCGCACACGCCGCACCUCGAACGGCUGCACAAACCCAGGCGACGGCCCGGGCUGCUGGUACUGGAAGACGUAGCUGCUCACCUAAGCCGUGGGUCGGCGUCAUAAGACUACCUCUUGCGAGUCCCUAAGCUGGCAAGCUAGGGUGAGGCUGGUGGCGAGUCCGCUGCUGGCCCUACAAAGAUAACCCCUCCAACAUCAUCUGACGCUAGGAAUGGGCUUGGGAAUGGGUGCUGGUUCGGGACAAGGUCCCAGCGGCGCGGAGGCCGACGCAAACUCACAAACGCAGCUGGCCGUGACCAGAAGUCCGCAAUCACCUCCACACCGAUCCUUCGCACAACAGCAACCUCCGCAGUCCGGCCUGCAGCAUCACGGCAAGCGUAAAGGCGCUGUCGGCCGUAUUCCAGGGCCGCCACAGCAGCCAAGCACACGAUGUCCCACACCGCCUGCGAUAGCCCUGGUGGCGCCUGUACCUGCCUGUACUAACCACAACUGGUUCCGUGUGAUGUCCACAUUCGCAUGCUCCCGCAGCACAUCACGCAGAGCCUCCGCCACCACACAGUCUGCGAAGUGAUGAACCCUAGCCCCAGCAGUCAUCUGAGUCCCACACGGGCAUUUCUCCACGCGUCCAUCCGCGGCCAACGCCGCAAGCAUCCCACAUGGCCUUGCUUGCCCCCUCCACGCACGCACGCAGGCAGGCAGGCACGGACAGGGGCAAUUCCAUCUGGAUCUGGCCUUAGGCGCUUAGUCCCCCACAGUUUCUUGUGAAACUGAAAACAGCCAGGGGGCGGGGCAAAACCCCGGGGCACCAUGCGGGCGGGAUGAAGAACGUUCGAGCUAGCCGCGCUAGCAACUGCCGAAUACCUUCAAUACGUUCUUUCAGUAUUUCUCACCGAAACCGCAAAGCUUGCUUCGCAGCACCGCUGAAAUGGCCGAACGCGUGCGUGACAUUCAGUCGGAGAUUGACAAGGUGACAAAAGAGAUAAAUGAUGUUGAAGCGCAAGUGAGCAAGGCAGCAGACAAAGUGGAGAAGGCAGAAGCAGAAGUGGAGAAGGCAGAAGCAGAAGUGGAGAAGGCAUGGGCGACGCGUCGCGAAAUAGCCAAGAAGCUGAAGCACCCAGAUCUCAGCGAGAAGGAGCGGGCGGCGCUGGUUGCGGAGCAGGAGUCGUGCGUCGCGGACUUCACAGCUGCCGACAAAAAACUGGAUAGGCUGAGCAGGAAGGAGGAACAGCUGCGCACGAAGAAGGAGCAGCUGCGCAAGAAGGAGGAGCAGCUGCGCAAGGAGGAGGAGCAGCUGCGCAAGGAAAAGGAGCAGCUGCGCAACAAGGAGGAGAGGCUGCAACAGGACGGUGAGCGUUGCGGUGUUGCACAACCACCAUCGAUGCUUCGGGUCUACUGAUUUUGCGUUCUUGUUGCUGUUGAGGUCUGAUGGCCGAUAUUUUGUCGAGCUCUAACCAAAUCGCAAUCUACCAAAACCAAAUCUCACUGGGACUAUGCCUUUGCCCCCCGGCCGCUCGCACGUUGUAGGCGCGGCGGGGAGCACGUCAGGAGCCGGUGAGUUUGUGUCGCAACAGCCCUAUGUAAGCAUGGUGCACGUGCAGCGGCACGCAGUUGCUAUUAAUGCGUUCUUCGAGUGCGUACUCGGUUGGGCUGGCCCCGUUAGCUGAGCGUGUCCGAUUGACCGACCAACUGGCCCGCCCACCCCAGAAGCUUUCUCGCGGUGCGACCCCUCGCGUGUCCGAAUGCCAACGCUGCCACCCACGCCUGCAGACGUGAAGAAGAAGCUGUCCCCACAAGAGAUCAUGGACAAGGUAUACAAGGACGCCACGUAUACGGCGCCCGUCCGAGCACGUGGCGCCCCCGAGGCGAGCCACGUGGCAGGUACAAGGAGGGUGGGAUGGGUGGCUGGUCGCGAAGGGUACAGAACACAAGGCUGCAGCCCGCUUCCCCAUACGCGAGGGAACCCGUUCUCAGGGCUCGAAGGGUUUGGGCAGGGUUUGGGCAGGGUUUGGGCAGGGUGGGAAGGGGUGGCGAUGGCUCUGCCAGCGAUGGCUUGAGCGGGCGGGCUCGUGAAUGGACAUGCAUUGUGCAUGUGCAUUGGGGUCCUGGCCUAUGACGACCUGCGCUGUGACUGACCUUUGCAUCUACGAGUCUACUCCUGCCCUCCUGCCCUCCUGGCACACGCCCCAGCGGUUCACGCUGGAUGAAAAGAAAAAGAGCUGACUAGCAGUGGACGGCGAGGCGGGCAUCGCGGCCCUCCGUCUCUGCGGCCCAGUGCUGGUCCU
rnacentral:lncRNA from 1 species